rnacentral:rRNA from 1 species
CUUGACUGUAGCCUGGAAUUGGGUUCGGGCUUUUCUUGCGCAGACUAGGUGGGAGGCUAUGAAGAUUUCCUUCCGGGGAAGUUGGAGCCAACAGUGAGAGACCACUCUGGAGAGGCUAGAAUCCUAAUGGUGAUCCGUGAAUCCGGACACUUGACAGUUUCAGGUGGGCAGUUUUUCUGGGGCGGAAGCCUCAUAAAAGGUAACUGAGGCGCGCAAAGGUUCCCUCAGUCUGGACGGAAAUCAGACAUUGAGUGUAAAGGCAAAAGGGAGCUUGACUGCAAGACCUACAAGUCGAGCAGGAGCGAAAGCUGGCCUUAGUGAUCCGACGGUUCCGCGUGGAAGGGCCGUCGCUCAACGAAUAAAAGUUA